AAAUCUUAGCAGUGGAUCACUCGGCUCGUGCAUCGAUGAAGAACGCAGCUAGCUGCAAGAACUAAUGUGAAUUGCUGGACACAUUGAUCAUCGAUACUUCGAAUGCACAUUGCGGCCCUGGGUUCCUCCCGAGGCCACGCCUGUCUGAGGGUCG